AACGAACGCUGGCGGCAGGCCUAACACAUGCAAGUCGAACGCUCCGCAAGGGGAGUGGCGCACGGGUGAGUAACGCGUGGGAAUCUACCUAUUAGUAAGGAAUAACAGUUGGAAACGACUGCUAAUACCUUAUACGCCCUACGGGGGAAAGAUUUAUCGCUAAUAGAUGAGCCCGCGUAAGAUUAGCUAGUUGGUGAGGUGAUGGCUCACCAAGGCUACGAUCUUUAGCUGGUCUGAGAGGAUGAUCAGCCACACUGGAACUGAGACACGGUCCAGACUCCUACGGGAGGCAGCAGUGGGGAAUAUUGGACAAUGGGCGAAAGCCUGAUCCAGCCAUGCCGCGUGAAUGAUGAAGGCCUUAGGGUUGUAAAGUUCUUUCGCCGCCGAGGAUAAUGUCGGUAAGCGGAUAAGAAGCCCCGGCUAACUUCGUGCCAGCCGCCGCAGUAA
rnacentral:rRNA from 1 species